rnacentral:rRNA from 1 species
AUUGAACGCUGGCGGCAUGCCUUACACAUGCAAGUCGAACGGUAACAGGUCUUCGGAUGCUGACGAGUGGCGAACGGGUGAGUAAUACAUCGGAACGUGCCUAGUAGUGGGGUAUAACUACUCGAAAGAGUGGCUAAUACCGCAUGAGAUCUACGGAUGAAAGCAGGGGAUCGCAAGACCUUGUGCUACUAGAGCGGCCGAUGGCAGAUUAGGUAGUUGGUGGGAUAAAAGCUGACCAAGCCGACGAUCUGUAGCUGGUCUGAGAGGACGAUCAGCCACACUGGGACUGAGACACGGCCCAGAAUAGUACGGGAGGCAGCAGUGGGGAAUUUUGGACAAUGGGCGCAAGCCUGAUCCAGCAAUGCCGCGUGAAGGAUGAAGGCCUUCGGGUUGUAAACUGCUUUUGUACGGAACGAAAAGCCCCGGGUUAAUACCCUGGGGUCAUGACGGUACCGUAAGAAUAAGCACCGGCUAACUACGUGCCAGCCGCCGCAGUAA